UUAUCACUUCACACUUAGGAAAUUCCAAGCGUUUUGGGAGCUGUGAUCCAGGAAUUGUGAAUGAAGACCAAAUAUAUAUGAGAAAUAUAUUUUGGUCAUCUGAAUGACCAAAUACG